rnacentral:lncRNA from 1 species
GAUGGUAUUGUAGAAGCUCGGAUGGCCGAGAGAGUUCAGAAAGAUGCUGCACAAGGUCGGAGGCCGGAAGAGUCCUGGGAGGGUUGGCCUCUUACGAACUUCGACAGGGGUUAUUUUAUACCCAACAAGUAGAGAGCCAUUUCAAAGGUGAAAAGACUCCAGUUCUUCUUGUAGAUAAGAUCUCCAAGAAGAAAAGCAAGAAGGAUUCUAAGAAAAAGAUGAACCAUAAGGCUUGCAUCUUGAAGAAGAAGACAAAGAAGGCCUCCGCCAAAGGUACUUGC